GCGCGGGUUGCGAUUCCUGGGCGUUGUGGGAACCAAGGGCGAGCGCUCAAGGUCGGAGAGCAGACGAGGCCGGAGGGCGCCUGACGGCAAAGGGUGUCGCCUGCUCUAGCCACCUGGAGCAGGCCAGGCUGGGCUUUGGAGAACUCGCCUCUCCAGUACGGCUUGUGGAGAUAAACAGAGCGUCUCGACAGAAUUGGCUGGACUUGAAACUUCGAACUUGCCAGGGGAGAAGUAAUGUGUUAUAGAAAAAUGAAACGGAUUACCCUAUGUUCUCAGCCUGGAAGACGACCAUCACCCAGGCACUGUUUCGAGCUCUUCUCAUGAAUUUAAUAAUCCAGUGCUGGAGAUUCCACAGCCCCAUUUGUCAGUGAGGGAGAGGCUGUUGUUCAAAGUCAGUAAGUAGAACUUGGGUGAGAAUUUAAGUAGUCAGAAGCCACCCCACAGAUAGCCUUUUCUGAUAUAUCAUGCCUCUUCAUUGGUUUGUAUGUCCGUUUAUGCUGAAGGGGAGCAAAAUAUGCCAACUCAAAAUAUGCACUUUGGCAUAUUGAUUUUGUAUUAAAAGUAUAUGAGAAACAGCCGUUGCAAGGACACUCUGAACCUCCUUUGUCUCCCCUGAGAGGAGCUAAAUCUCCCAUGUGAAAGGUAGCCUCCCUGUAUCAGGAUAGAGGCACCCUUAUCACCAGAGAGAAAAUUUAGGGCAAAGCUGGCUGUGUAAACAAACCUUGUUAUGUCUUUCUUCACCAAUUUACUACCCCAAGCCCAAAUUCUUUGUCUUGUCAGUUCUUCACAAGUUUAUCUAAAUAGAAGAUAUAAAAGCUUCCUGCUUUGCUCACUUCUUCAGCCUCACAUUUUUAUGGGACACCCAUACAAAUUUGUUUUUCUCCUGUUAAUCUGUUUUAUGUCAAUCUAAUAGAUUAGCCAAAGAACCCUGAAGUGAAGACGGGAAAAAUUUUCCACUUAUCUACAAUGCUUUGUACAAGUUACCAUGCUUGGUGACUAGCAGCAGGAUCCUUGAAAUGAAAGAAGUCUUGAAUGCUUGUCAUCAGGGAUGGCAAGGAAGCUGGGGAAGCUACUCGGUGUUUUAUUCCAUAUCCAAGCUUGGGGGAAAGCCCAUGAAAUGGAAACAAAAGGACACAGAAGCCAUCGUAAAAGCAAGAGCGGAGUCAGGGUGCAUCCAGCAAAUCUGAAGUGUGAUAGCAAUAUGACACACUGGAAGGGCACAGGAACCAGCCAUCAGCCUUAUAUAGCUUAGAAAUGGCGGCUAUAUUUUGCUGCAUGCUUGUAAAGGUUAACCUAGGUCACCGAGAAAAUGUACACUGUAAUCAUGCUGUUCAAAGUAAGAGAGUAUAAAACAUCUAUUAAUUAUGGUUAAGCCUUGAAGGAAUAAUUAUUUAGAACCUUUUUGUUACCAAAAUACAUCAUUCCAGACAUAUAAUAAUUACUUAAAUUUACUACGAGACAAAUGAACCUAAUUAUCAAAAUAUAAUUUUUAUGAGUAUUUCUUUAGACAUUUUAUACUUACUAUAUGUGCAGAAUAACAAGGUGUUUUUUAUUAAAACAUACACAGUCUACAUCAGCAUGGACUAGCAUUUCUAUUCCUAGUUUUUUCCUCAAAUACCAAUUAGUGACAUUGGAUAACUAUGGCUACUACCAUCAAAAUAUUCUCAACCUGGUGGUUCAAACACAUCCCUCUAAACAAAUAACUCUAAUGAUAUUCUGAGAAUGCUCUAAAAACAUUUUUCCUUUUGGAACUUAGGUAUCAGGGUAAAAUGAAGAUUCUCUAAGAUUGUUUAUUCUUUAAUGGUCUAAAAUGAAGACAAAAUUAGAUAAAAUCUUAGCUUGAUGGAAAGGUCAACAAAUAUUUUGCUAACUGUUCUCAUGGUAAUAGUACAGUAGUCCCAUUGUAUCCACAGCAGACACAUUCUGAGACCCCCAAGUGGAUGACUGGAACACUGGAUAAUACGUAAGCCUAUAUAUACUGUUUUUUCCGACACUUAAUACACUUGAUGGAUUCUCUUUGGCAUAACCAAAUUGCCAGCAUCAUUACUCUUAAAACUUUGGUGCCAUUAGGUAAAAUAGGGACUUGAACACAAGUACUACGAUACCUCCACAGCUGAUCUGAUAACGGAGACCGUUUCUAAGUGAUUAAUGGGCUGGAAGCAAAUACAGUGUGAAUACGCUGGACAAAGGAAUGAUUCACAUCCCAAGCAGGAUGCAACAGGACAGCACAAGACUUCAUCAUGCUACUCAGAGGGUAUGCAAUUUAAAUAUUAUGUACUAUUUCUGGAAUUUUCCAUUUAAUAUUUUCAGACUGCAGUUGAUGAUGGGUAACUGAGGAUAAGAGGGGACAACUGUAUAUUUAAAGAAAAAAAAAAAGCAUUGGCUUCAAG